rnacentral:ncRNA from 2 species
CUCUUAUCAAGAGUUGGCUGAGGGAAUUGGCCCAAUGAAGCCCAGCAACCGACCGUAAUACUAUCGUGAGAUAGGGCGCACGUUUUUUCGGCGCCGGAAGUUCCACCUUCCGCAGGGCACGGUGCUAAGUCCAACAGAAAGACUCGUUCUUUCUGGAAGAUAAGAG